rnacentral:rRNA from 1 species
CCUACGGGAGGCUGCAGUGAGGAAUAUUGGUCAAUGGGCGUAAGCCUGAACCAGCCAAGUCGCGUGAGGGAUGAAGGUUCUAUGGAUCGUAAACCUCUUUUAUAAGGGAAUAAAGUGUGGGACGUGUCCUGUUUUGUAUGUACCUUAUGAAUAAGGAUCGGCUAACUCCGUGCCAGCAGCCGCGGUAAUACGGAGUAUCCGAGCGUUAUCCGGAUUUAUUGGGUUUAAAGGGUGCGUAGGCGGCCCUUUAAGUCAGCGGUGAAAGUCUGUGGCUCAACCAUAGAAUUGCCGUUGAAACUGGGAGGCUUGAGUAUGGUUGAGGCAGGCGGAAUGCGUGGUUUAGCGGUGAAAUGCUUAGAUAUCACGCAGAACCCCGAUUGCGAAGGCAGCCUGCCAAGCCAUGACUGACGCUGAUGCACGAAAGCGUGGGGAUCAAACAGGAUUAGAUACCCUAGUAGUC